UACGAAGGGGGCUAGCGUUGUUCGGAUUUACUGGGCGUAAAGGGCGCGUAGGCGGUCAGCACAAGUCAGUUGUGAAAUCUCCGGGCUUAACCCGGAAAGGUCAACUGAUACUGUGCGACUAGAGUGCGGAAGGGGCAACUGGAAUUCUCGGUGGAGCGGUGAAAUGCGUAGAGAUCGGAAAGAACACCAACGGCGAAAGCACUCUGCUGGGCCGACACUGACACUGAGAGACGAAAGCUAGGGGAGCGAAUGGG
rnacentral:rRNA from 1 species